rnacentral:rRNA from 1 species
UCAGUCGACUCCUACGGGGGGGGCAGCAGUGGGGAAUAUUGCACAAUGGGGGAAACCCUGAUGCAGCCAUGCCGCGUGUGUGAAGAAGGCCUUCGGGUUGUAAAGCACUUUCAGUAGGGAGGAAGGUAGUGUAGUUAACACCUGCAUUAUUUGACGUUACCUACAGAAGAAGCACCGGCUAACUCCGUGCCAGCAGCCGCGGUAAUACGGAGGGUGCGAGCGUUAAUCGGAAUUACUGGGCGUAAAGCGCAUGCAGGCGGCCUGUUAAGUCAGAUGUGAAAGCCCGGGGCUUAACCUCGGAAUUGCAUUUGAAACUGGCAGGCUAGAGUCUUGUAGAGGGGGGUAGGAAUUUCAGGUGUAGCGGUGAAAUGCGUAGAGAUCUGAAGGAAUACCAGUGGCGAAGGCGGCCCCCUGGACAAAGACUGACGCUCAGAUGUGAAAGCGUGGGGAGCAAACAGGAUUAGAUACCCUGGUAG